rnacentral:rRNA from 1 species
AGCAGCCGCGGUAAUUCCAGCUCCAAUAGCGUAUAUUAAAGUUGUUGCAGUUAAAAAGCUCGUAGUUGAAUUUCGGGGUCAGUAAGUUGGUCGUGCCACUGGUAUGUACUGGCUUUACUGAUUCCUCCUUCUUGUAGAACCGUAAUGCCAUUAAGUUGGUGUUGCGGGAAACAGGACUGUUACUUUGAAAAAUUAGAGUGUUUAAAGCAAGCUAACGCUUGAAUACAUUAGCAUGGAAUAAUGAAAUAGGACGAACGAUCCUAUUUUGUUGGUUUCUAGGAUUGACGUAAUGAUUAAUAGGGAUAGUUGGGGGCGAUUAGUAUUCAAUUGUCAGAGGUGAGAUUCUUGGAUUUAUUGAAGACUAACUACUGCGAAAGCAUUUGCCAAGGAUGUUUUCAUUAAUCAAGAACGAAAGUUAGGGGAUCGAAGACGAUCAGAUACCGUCGUAGUCUUAACCAUAAACUAUGCCGACUAGGGAUCGGAUGAUGUUAAUUUUUUAAUGACUCAUUCGGCGCCUUAC